UGACUGCGUACCUUUUGUAUAAUGGGUCAGCGACUUAUAUUCUGUAGCAAGGUUAACCGAAUAGGGGAGCCGGAGGGAAACCGAGUCUUAAUUGGGCGUUAAGUUGCAGGGUAUAGACCCGAAACCCGGUGAUCUAGCCAUGGGCAGGUUGAAGGUUGGGUAACACUAACUGGAGGACCGAACCGACUAAUGUUGAAAAAUUAGCGGAUGACCUGUGGCUGGGGGUGAAAGGCCAAUCAAACCGGGAGAUAGCUGGUUCUCCCCGAAAGCUAUUUAGGUAGCGCCUCGUGAAUUCAUCUCCGGGGGUAGAGCACUGUUUCGGCUAGGGGGCCAUCCCGGCUUACCAACCCGAUGCAAACUGCGAAUACCGGAGAAUGUUAUCACGGGAGACACACGGCGGGUGCUAACGUCCGUCGUGAAGAGGGAAACAACCCAGACCGCCAGCUAAGGUCCCAAAGUCAUGGUUAAGUGGGAAACGAUGUGGGAAGGCCCAGACAGCCAGGAUGUUGGCUUAGAAGCAGCCAUCAUUUAAAGAAAGCGUAAUAGCUCACUGGUCGAGUCGGCCUGCGCGGAAGAUGUAACGGGGCUAAACCAUGCACCGAAGCUGCGGCAGCGACACUCAGGUGUUGUUGGGUAGGGGAGCGUUCUGUAAGCCUGCGAAGGUGGCCUGUGAGGGUUGCUGGAGGUAUCAGAAGUGCGAAUGCUGACAUAAGUAACGAUAAAGCGGGUGAAAAGCCCGCUCGCCGGAAGACCAAGGGUUCCUGUCCAACGUUAAUCGGGGCAGGGUGAGUCGACCCCUAAGGCGAGGCCGAAAGGCGUAGUCGAUGGGAAACGGGUUAAUAUUCCCGUACUUGGUGUUACUGCGAAGGGGGGACGGAGAAGGCUAUGUUGGCCGGGCGACGGUUGUCCCGGUUUAAGCGUGUAGGUGUGUGUUCCAGGCAAAUCCGGUUCACUUUAACACUGAGGCGUGACGACGAGGCACUACGGUGCUGAAGCAACAAAUGCCCUGCUUCCAGGAAAAGCCUCUAAGCAUCAGGUAACAUCAAAUCGUACCCCAAACCGACACAGGUGGUCAGGUAGAGAAUACCAAGGCGCUUGAGAGAACUCGGGUGAAGGAACUAGGCAAAAUGGUGCCGUAACUUCGGGAGAAGGCACGCUGACAUGUAGGUGAAGUGAUUUACUCAUGGAGCUGAAGUCAGUCGAAGAUACCAGCUGGCUGCAACUGUUUAUUAAAAACACAGCACUGUGCAAACACGAAAGUGGACGUAUACGGUGUGACGCCUGCCCGGUGCCGGAAGGUUAAUUGAUGGGGUCAGCGCAAGCGAAGCUCCUGAUCGAAGCCCCGGUAAACGGCGGCCGUAACUAUAACGGUCCUAAGGUAGCGAAAUUCCUUGUCGGGUAAGUUCCGACCUGCACGAAUGGCGUAAUGAUGGCCAGGCUGUCUCCACCCGAGACUCAGUGAAAUUGAACUCGCUGUGAAGAUGCAGUGUACCCGCGGCAAGACGGAAAGACCCCGUGAACCUUUACUAUAGCUUGACACUGAACAUUGAGCCUUGAUGUGUAGGAUAGGUGGGAGGCUUUGAAGUGUGGACGCCAGUCUGCAUGGAGCCGACCUUGAAAUACCACCCUUUAAUGUUUGAUGUUCUAACGUGGACCCGUGAUCCGGGUUGCGGACAGUGUCUGGUGGGUAGUUUGACUGGGGCGGUCUCCUCCUAAAGAGUAACGGAGGAGCACGAAGGUUGGCUAAUCCUGGUCGGACAUCAGGAGGUUAGUGCAAUGGCAUAAGCCAGCUUGACUGCGAGCGUGACGGCGCGAGCAGGUGCGAAAGCAGGUCAUAGUGAUCCGGUGGUUCUGAAUGGAAGGGCCAUCGCUCAACGGAUAAAAGGUACUCCGGGGAUAACAGGCUGAUACCGCCCAAGAGUUCAUAUCGACGGCGGUGUUUGGCACCUCGAUGUCGGCUCAUCACAUCCUGGGGCUGAAGUAGGUCCCAAGGGUAUGGCUGUUCGCCAUUUAAAGUGGUACGCGAGCUGGGUUUAGAACGUCGUGAGACAGUUCGGUCCCUAUCUGCCGUGGGCGCUGGAGAACUGAGGGGGGCUGCUCCUAGUACGAGAGGACCGGAGUGGACGCAUCACUGGUGUUCGGGUUGUCAUGCCAAUGGCACUGCCCGGUAGCUAAAUGCGGAAGAGAUAAGUGCUGAAAGCAUCUAAGCACGAAACUUGCCCCGAGAUGAGUUCUCCCUGAGACUUUAGGUCUCCUGAAGGAACGUUGAAGACGACGACGUUGAUAGGCCGGGUGUGUAAGCGCAGCGAUGCGUUGAGCUAACCGGUACUAAUGAACCGUGAGGCUUAACCUUAC
rnacentral:rRNA from 1 species